UUUAAAGUCUAACCUGCCCAAUGAUAAUUAUUUAAUGGCCGCAGUAAUUUGACUGUGCAAAGGUAGCAUAAUCAUUAGUUUUUUAAUUGAAAGCUGGUAUGAAUGGUUGGACGAGAAAAAUACUGUCUCAAUUUAAUUUUAAUUAGAAUUUUAUUUUUGAGUUAAAAAGCUUAAAUAAUUUUAAAAGACGAGAAGACCCUAUAGAGUUUGAUAUUUUUAUUGGUUUAAUUAUUUUAGAAUAAUUUUUAUUUAAUUAAUAAAAGUAUUUUGUUGGGGUGAUGAUAAAAUUUAAUUAACUUUUAUUUUUUAUUUACAUAAAUUUAUGGAAAAUUGAUCCACUAUUUGUGAUUAUAAGAUUAAAUUACCUUAGGGAUAACAGCGUAAUUUUAUUAGAGAGUUCUUAUCGAAAAUAAAGUUUGCGACCUCGAUGUUGGAUUAAAAUUAACUUUUGGUGUAGAAGCUAGAGGGUUAAGUCUGUUCGACUUUUAAAAUUUUACAUGAUCUGAGUUUAAACCGGUGUGAGCCAGGUUGGUUUCUAUCUUUAAAAUAUAUUUAUAUUUUAGUACGAAAGGAAUUAAUAUAUAUAAAAUUUAUUUUGUUUUGAAUUUUAAUA
rnacentral:rRNA from 1 species